rnacentral:rRNA from 1 species
UACGUAGGGGGCAAGCGUUGUCCGGAUUUAUGGUGCGUAAAGAGCGCGCAGGCGGUCAUGCAAGUCGCGUGUGAAAGCCCCCGGCUCAACUGGGGAGGGUCACGCGAUACUGUUCGACUCGAAGGCAGGAGAGGGAAGCGGAAUUCCCGGUGUAGUGGUGAAAUGCGUAGAUAUCGGGAGGAACACCAGUGGCGAAGGCGGCUUCCUGGCCUGUUCUUGACGCUGAGGCGCGAAAGCUAGGGUAGCAAACGGG